UACGGGGGGUGCAAGCGUUAUCCGGAAUCAUUGGGCGUAAAGCGCCUGUAGGUGGUUUAAUAAGUUUGUUGUUAAAGAUUAGGGCUUAACCCUAAAAAAGCAAUGGAAACUACUAGACUAGAGUAUGGUAGGGGUAGAGGGAAUUUCUAGUGUAGCGGUGAAAUGCGUAGAUAUUAGAAAGAACACCAGAGGCGAAAGCGCUCUACUGGACCAUUACUGACACUCAGAGGCGAAAGCUAGGGUAGCAAAAGGGAUUAGAUACCCCUGUAGUCCUAGCCGUAAACGAUGGAUACUAGAUGUUGUGCAUUUCGUACAGUAUCGUAGCUAACGCGUUAAGUAUCCCGCCUGGGGAGUACGCUCGCAAGGGUG
rnacentral:rRNA from 1 species